rnacentral:misc_RNA from 1 species
UGGCAUACGUCGAGAAUGCCCCUGUUCUGAUCCCUAAAUAAAAAACCUUUAAAUAAGUCUGCUCUCGCCAAGCCGCUAAGACGCAAAGUUAAGACAAAAGACUAAUCCUCCCCAUUUUUUUACUUUAUUUCUUGGCGGCUUAGCGGCUUGGCGAGAGAAAUUCUUCUCCCCGUGGCCGGCACUUUCCCCUUACUGUUAUAAUCCCGCUCCAGCCGGUUAAUCAGAUAAAGAGCUCAGCCAUGUCAAAGAAAAACACUCCCCCUACCGAUCCCAUGCGUCAGCACUCCGCCCCCGUUGUCGACGGGAUCGAGCGCACACCCAGCCGCGCAAUGCUGCGGCCGGUCGGAUUCAAGGACGAGGACUUUAAAAAACCCCAGAUCGGUAUCGCCUCCACCUGGAG